UAGUGGUCGGUUGAGGUUCGCUGUAAGAUCCAACAAUGCGAAUCUCUGCCUCCCAUUUGC
rnacentral:pre_miRNA from 1 species